UGGACUCCUUACUGCUCAAAUUUUCCCUUCAACAUCCUCCCACCAGCCACACAAACUGCAAGUGCUGUGGCAGAAGUAGCAUCAGUAGUGCAAAGGUGCAUGUAACUGCCAGCACAGACUGCUCUUUCAGGACACCAGAGCUCAGUAAUGGGGACGAAACUGGCUUCCUGCUGCUCCACAACUUACACAGUAGAUUAAAUGCUGGAAAUGGGGAACUGCAGUGAACCAACCAGCUCAGGCUGCAUAGCCCAGAGGCCAGCACCAAACACCACACAGAAAGAACUACCAACGUAUUUCACUGGAUGCACAGGAAAACCAUCCUCCCUCUUCUUCAGCUAAAAUAAAUAGCCUACCUCAUGUCACUGAGAAGAAUUCAGUCCCAUUUAGAUAGAGAAGGACCAAGAACUCAUAGAAGAUAUUUAAGGUCCAUUUUACAUAACAGAUCUAUAGUUCUUCUGACUGCAAAAGUCAGGGAGAAAAAAACUGCACCUGCUGUUAGAAAUAAUGCGUGCCUUCAUCAGUCCUUAGAAAACAAGCACUCAGAUCUGAUUCCUAAAACUACCAUCACAUAGAAACACCCUGUUCUUGAGCAAAAGCAGACAGAACAUAGAAAUUCCAAAACUCCUUCAACAGGUAACAUCAUCUACAUACCUAGGUACCCAUAGACAAGGUGCAGAGACCACUCUGACGGUAUUUGAAGACACUUGAACAGAUUUCAUCACUCAGGCAAGUCUGGGAAUACAAUAUCUUUAGCAUCCUCACAGAACUCAAACGACUGGAAAGAAGUACUGACAAGUACUCCUGAAGAUUUAAGCAGGGAAGCAGAAAUCGUAACUUGGAUCCUCUUCAAAAGAGAUAAGGAACCUGAAGCAGUUGAACAGUUGAAGCUUUCCUGUGCCCACUGGGAAAGGAAGCUGGAAAUCCCGGGAACUGGGACUCAGCUCCCACACAACUGCAGGUGAGGUUGGGACCUCUUGAUGCCCAGUGCCAGAAGAGAAGAGAAACCACUCAAAAAGUAGUCCAAAAAGCGAGGGUUUAGCAUCAUUGUACAGCUGAAACCAGAACCUAUGUCAGGAAACAUCCAAGUCUACAUAGCAGUGGAAGUACUGAAUCAAAUAAUUAGAUGGAAUCAGAUUUACAAAUAACAAAUGAAGGUUUAAAAUACUGUCAUAAGGGGGUUUAUGUCCUUAAUAUAACUAAAAUAUGCAUCUUUGAGUAAGUGACCAAACAAGACAGACAAGGAAAAUGGCAAAAUCCUGAACUACCACUCAUGUUACUUUCUCCAGUCUUUCCAUAAAUAUCCCUAAUCAAGUAUAUCAAAGUCACAUGAACUUCACCAGUCUCCCUUUGGUACAAGAAGUAACAGACCUUUCAAAGCAAGCAGAAACCAGACUUUCAAGUGCAUUAAAUACACGUGCAGAGGACACGGCUUUGUGCCGUUGCCCAACAAACAGGCUCAGGCUUCAGCAGAGCAGCAGCAGCCUGCACCAUUAACAGUGAAGGGCAGUAGGUUUCAAACACGUUGCCGUGCAGUAAAACACUUGACUGAGCAAAGGUUUAUGCACUUCUUAGGAGAUAAUGUUCCAAACUGGGGUAGACAAAGACUGAUCUGACUCUUUCUUCCACAGCACUUUUAAAAUACAGGAUAACCUUGAUUUCUAGUGAGUCUGAGAACUACGUAAAGGCUGUUUAGGUAAUCCCCUCAUUAUGCAAAAGUAAGUUAAAUCAGACUUAAAGUUGUGCAAGUGAAACAAUCUCCUGUCUCUUUCCUGACUACUCCCCACAUUACCCACAGGCCAGAUGAGAACUCCAGAAAUUGUAAUAGCCACCACUGGUUUCAAUUCAAAAUUGGAAUCCUCUCUCAUUUCCAUUACUACCACAAAAUUUACGGGUAAACCCAUUUUUACAUUAUUAAAUCAAUUGGUUCCUUCCCUAAGCCAAAUUUUCUCCUUACUUCUGUUUUAUAAUGAGCUCUUUGAACCGAGGAUAUUUCAUUUUAGUGCCCAGUCUCAUAAAUCAUAAUUCCGUAAUUAAGUCUAAUCCUAUAUCCUUCACACCCAAGCUGUGCUCUGUGUGUGAGUAAAACUUCUGAAACAAACCACCCGCCCCCCAAGGCUCAUUACUUGCCACAUUCUCAUAAGGGUGCUUUGUGGAAAGCUUUGCCUCAUUGUUUAUUUAAAGACAGCACUGUUGUUAGAAUACUUGCAACAAGCAUCAAAAUAAGGUCGUUAUAAAUGGCAAAGCUGGAGCUUGCCUAAUUGCUAAUGUGAGUGGGUAAUCACAGAGGAUAUAAGCUUUGAUAUAUGCAUUAAGUUGCAAGGUGUGCAAGAUACAGCUGUAUUUAUACGUCUACAUAUCUACUUAUGUGGCAUUUAUUGUAAGAUCAAUGAAGGUGUUUAAUAAUGCAUAUAAUAUAGCUUAUGCUUAUGAAAGUUAUCACUGAAAAGAAAUACACCAUAUGGCUUAAAAAUGUACAUUAGCAUACAAAGUAGCUGCAGAAUUCACUCCAGUGUUUUUGCAUUAGGAAGCCAAUCAAGACAGCAUAGUUCUGAAAAUGCUAAUCCUACAGUAUUUAAGAACAAAAGAAAGAACCACGCAAUCAAAACUGUCAGAUCUCACUGGCACUGUCAGACCAGAGGCUAAAGUACCUAGGUAAUAAAACAUACAAGUACCUUUGCUUGUACAGGAAAGCUGAAAUUCAGCUUCUCUUCCUUCUUCUAGGUAUUAUUUGAUUCUGUAUGUCUCAGAGUUCAAUUAUGAGUAAUUUUAGUUAUGCCACUCUCACUUUCUUCAGGCUUUUCAUUCUUUCUGACUAAUUAGGUUUUGUCAUCUGGCACAAGACAAAACAAAAAUGGAUAUUAAUUAAAGGACACAUACUCUGCUCCUUAGCCAUAGCUUACGUUUUCAGACAGUAGGAGGGAAGGGUAAAAAGAAUAAGCACACUGAUGAAUAUGCUACAUUGGUGUGUUGUAAGCUCCAUCAGUCACUACAUCUUUUUUUCUCAGCACCAUUCUGAGGCCACCACGAUGACAUUUUAGCCUUUGCUGUAUUUAGAAUGUUUUGAUUUAUACUGUUCUAUAAGCACUUUCUACUUAAUCCUGUCUUUUCACAAAGCAUGACUGACUCAAUAUGUGUGAAGUCAAAUAAAAUGAUUAAUGCACAAAAGCCCAGGGAAGAAGCCUGAAUAAAACUGGGAUGCUCAUUUCAAAUCAGAAAGUUCUGGCAAGCACUUCCUCAAAUUAACAGAAGUUGUUCAAGAAAAAUCAACAUUAAACUUGAGAAAAUUAGUCCAAAUACUCCACAACACACUUUUUGAUGCUAAUUACAAGUAAGUCUCAGCACCCCUCGUCAUGCACUGUCAUACAUUACCUAGCAGGCAGCUCCUGCUGCAUGCUCCAUUAAUUAUGUUCCAUGAGGUUUCUCACUGCUACGGCACAGAAGCGUAUUUGUGGAGGUGAGACAGGAAUGCAGCUACUGACUGUGACUAACAGGCUCAUUGUCAAAUUUUCCUACAGCUGAUGCUGGCUAUUGCCAUUACUCACUUUUCGUUCCGCCUCUCCAACUGAGAAUACUUUUCUCCCCCUCACUGUACUGACUGGUGAUUAAUAGCAGCUCUAAUUCCCAGCAUGCACCGUUACCAACAUUCACAGCUAAAAUACUGGGGAAGGUGGUCUUGAGGUUCAGACACUGGUCUUGGACAACUUAAGAUACCUGGAUUCAUUACCUAGCUCUGCCACAUAUCUCCUUUGGGACAUAAAGUCUCCAACUGUGCAAAAGCUAAAACACACUAAAACCUCAAAAAUCAGGGGGGGAAACACCCACAUUAUUAGCACAGUUCAAUAAUCCAGUACCACAUAUAUCUUGAAAUAGCAGAAAGCCAACCAUAGGUGUAAAUUCCUUUUCCCAAACUUUUUCUUUUCUGAAAAAAACUGAAUUGCUACUGUCAGUUCAUACAUUCAAAAGCACACUCCUUUUUAUUUAAAAAAGGGGGGAAAGGGGAGCCUAGAGAGUGCUGAGAUUGGAAAAGCCGGGCUGCACAUCAUCAGAUGGAUACAGGAGGAAGAAUCUGGAGCAGUGCUGCCUGACCUCCUUGCCCCUGCCCCCAUCCCACACUACAGUGCUAGCCUCAGAUGAGGAAGAGAGGUUCAGUUUCCUCUUCUGACUAAGAGGGAUCAAAUCUGA